rnacentral:rRNA from 1 species
GACGAACGCUGGCGGCGCGCCUAACACAUGCAAGUCGAGCGAAGCGGCGAACGGGUGAGUAACGCGUGAGGAACCUGCCUCUCACAACGGGAUAGCCUCGGGAAACCGGGAUUAAUACCAAAUGGUCUAAGAUGGACUCGCGUCCCAUUAGCUAGUUGGUGAGGUAACGGCCCACCAAGGCGACGAUGGGUAGCCGGCCUGAGAGGGUGAACGGCCACAUUGGAACUGAGAAACGGUCCAAACUCUACGGGAGGCAGCAGUGGGGAAUAUUGCACAAUGGAGGGAACUCUGAUGCAGCGACGCCGCGUGAACGAAGAAGGCUUUCGAGUCGUAAAGUUCUUUUAUAUGGGAAGCGGUACCAGAAGAAAAAGCCCCGGCUAACUACGUGCCAGCAGCCGCGGUAAUUC